rnacentral:tRNA from 1 species
GGGUUGGCGCAUGUCCGCGCACUUACAAGCAGGGCGUCGCUGGUUCGAACCCAGCUGCGCCCACCA